rnacentral:tRNA from 1 species
GGGGAUGUAGCUCAGUGAUAGAGUGCUUGCCUAGCAUGCACGAGGUCUUGGGUUCCAUCCCCA